rnacentral:rRNA from 1 species
UAGGGAAUCUUCCGCAAUGGGCGAAAGCCUGACGGAGCAACGCCGCGUGAGUGAUGAAGGUCUUCGGAUCGUAAAACUCUGUUAUUAGGGAAGAACAAAUGUGUAAGUAACUAUGCACGUCUUGACGGUACCUAAUCAGAAAGCCACGGCUAACUACGUGCCAGCAGCCGCGGUAAUACGUAGGUGGCAAGCGUUAUCCGGAAUUAUUGGGCGUAAAGCGCGCGUAGGCGGUUUUUUAAGUCUGAUGUGAAAGCCCCCGGCUCAACCGUGGAGGGUCAUUGGAAACUGGAAAACUUGAGUGCAGAAGAGGAAAGUGGAAUUCCAUGUGUAGCGGUGAAAUGCGCAGAGAUAUGGAGGAACACCAGUGGCGAAGGCGACUUUCUGGUCUGUAACUGACGCUGAUGUGCGAAAGCGUGGGGAUCAAACAGG